UGGGGGGCGUGUGGGGCUGCACUCCCUCACCGCCUCCACUCCCGCACCUUCUCCCCAAGGACCAAGCACUGGUCUAGCAGCUCGGCAUCGCCCCCUCCCAAGAAAAAGAAGGAAAAGAAAGGCGGCCACCGGAGAAGCUGGAAAAAGAGGAGACUGGAGUCCGAUGGCAGCUGUGGGAGCUCCUCUCCCCUCUGCAAGAAGAGUGUGAAGAAGCAUCACUGAGACAGGUACCCUUGUUGUCCCCACCCUGGGACCUCAUCUUCCUCCCGUGGGGCCCAGGGUCAGGGCUGUGGCCCUCCAUAGGUCUCCCCUGGGCCACCCCAGACAAGCUCAAGAGAACUCCUUUAUCGCGCUACAGGUCUGAUUCUGGGUCCUGGAGGAAAAGACAGCACAGGUGAGCAGCGAUUUGCAGAGGACAUGGUCAGUGGUCCCUUCAGGGACCAAAGCCCAAAGGAUGCAAUGAUGAGAGGGGGUUCUGAGGGUCCCAUCGGGCUCCAUCCUUCAGCUCCAGGGUUCCUUCCCAGAGGUUUUGCAUA